rnacentral:rRNA from 1 species
AGAAUCAACGCUGGCGGCGUGCCUAACACAUGCAAGUCGAACGAGAAAGUGGGAGCAAUCCCACGAGUAAAGUGGCGCACGGGUGAGUAACACGUGACUAACCUACCCUUGAGUGGGGGAUAACCUAGGGAAACCUGGGCUAAUACCGCAUAAUACCUACGGGUCAAAGGAGCAAUUCGCUUAAGGAGGGGGUCGCGGCAGAUUAGUUAGUUGGCGGGGUAAUGGCCCACCAAGACAGUGAUCUGUA